UUAAAGGUCUUGGUCUUAAACCUAUCAUUAUCUACACCCCCUAAUUAUACAUGCAAGCCUCACCAUGACAGUGAAACAGCCCACCACACCAGGUCUGGAGCAGGCAUCAGGUAUUACACCCAUAACGCCAAGCAAUAUACCAAGCCACACCCCCACGGGUCCACAGCAGUAGUUAAUAUUAGGCCAUAAGCGAAAGCUUGACCUAGCAAUAGGGUUUUAGGGCCGGUUAAUCUCGUGCCAGCGACCGCGGUUAUACGACAGACCCAAGAUAAUCCACAACGGCGUAAAGCACGACUAAGUAACAUGUACCACUGUUUUAGGAAUGAAAAUCACCAGGCUGUAAAAAGCCAUAGGCCACACUAAUCACACCCCCUAACAACUAAACAGCCCUAACUCGUGAAAGCCAGGACACAAACUAAGAUUAGAUACCUUACUAUGCCAGGCCAUAACACAACAAUCAAACAACCAAUUGUUCGCCAAAUAACUACGAGUACAAACUUAAAAUUUAAAAGACUUGACGGUACUUCACAACAACCUAGAGGAGCCUGUCUAAUAACCGAUACUCCACGAUUAACCCAACCUACUCUAGCCAACCAGUCUAUAUACCGCCGUCGCCAGCUUACCUUGUGAAAGAAAUUAAAGUAAACAAAAUAGACAACCCUCUAACACGACAGGUCGAGGUGUAACUAAUGAGUAGGACAAAAGAUGGGCUACAUUUUCUAAAACAGAAAAUACGGAUAAACUAUGAAACCAGAAACUGAAGAAGGAUUUAGCAGUACGUUAAGAACAAAAUACUUAACCGAAAUCUGCAAUGAAGUGCGCACACACCGCCCGUCAUCCCUGUAACAACAAUUAAAAAUUAAUAAACGAUACAACCACCUUUUAAAGCAGGGCAAGUCGUAACAUGGUAAGCGUACUGGAAAGUGCGCUUAGAAA
rnacentral:ncRNA from 1 species